rnacentral:lncRNA from 1 species
CUAGCAAAUAGACGUCCUUUUGCAAGGGAGCUAGCACCCCGGUCAGGACAUCGAUCAAAUCAAGAACCUCGUGUAGAUACCUAUAGAGGCCGGACGCGUGUGCGGCUUCAAGAGAACCCGAUUCUACGAUCAUCAAAUUGAGGUGAAGAUCUAUCCGCGAAAAAGGUAAAGAUUCGAUCUUGCUUUUCUUCUUUAAUCUUAAAAUAUGAGGGAUCCUAAUUGCGUGGUUUUUGAGAUUGGAUCUCGAGAGUUUUCAAAAAUCAAAUUUGUUUGAUUUCUUUUUCCGCUGCGUUUUUACCGUACGCAAUUUUCUAACAGUGGUAUCGGAGCCAUCCUCAAGUUUUUAUGAUUAAAAUUAUGACUUUGGGUAUUCUAAACUGUUUUUCGCCGAUCGAACGAUUUAUAGAUCGUUGUUUGGUUGAUUCGAAAAAUCAAAUUGAUCAAACAAUUUAAUUGAUGAUUUCUAGCAUGCAAGCAACCAAAAAAAAAAAAAAGAAAAAAAAAAGGUGCUACUGUAGCAAUUACUGUAGCGUUCGUACGGACGCUACUGUAAAUUUUUUUUUAAAAUUUUUUUUUUAAUUGAUUAGAUCAAUUCAAAUUUUAAAUAAAAGAAAAAGAAAAAUCUAAUUUGAUUAGAUCAAUCUUGAUGAGAUCAAGUUGUUAUUUUUGACGAUUAAAUUUUUGAUCAAGAUUAUAAAUGAUUAAUUAGAUUGAUUGUUUUAGUGAUUAGUCACUAUUAUUUUUCGAAUUAUCGAUUAACGGUUAAUUAGAAUACCCAAAAUUUUUUAUUUAUAUGUGAUGUAUGAGAUACAUAUCGGUGAUGAUCAUGGAUAGCGACCUAUUUAUAUUUCGACAUGUGAUGUAUGAUGUGUAUGCAGAAUCCUGUAAUUUUAAAUUUGUUUAAAUUAAGGACUUUGUAUUAGAGAUGGCUAUAUUUGUGCCUGCGUGCACAAGCCGAUUUAUUUGGAAACCUUUGUGUUUCAAUAGGUUAGAGAUAAAAGUUAUGAAAUGUAAUUAAUUUUCAUUUCAUUUGUAUUGUUGGGUUGUAUAAUGUAUGGUUGCACGUUAUUGGUUGAUCGGUUGUAAGCCUAAAAGUUCGCAAGGCCCGGCUAGUGAUGAAUACUUGAUGGCGGUCGGAUCAAGGUGUUGAUAAGGAUCAAAUCAAGUUGAAGCUUCAGAUCGGAUCAAGAAGUUGAAGACGAUCAAACCAAUGACGUGUGUGUGCUUGUAAUU